GAUGAACGCUGGCGGCGUGCCUAAUACAUGCAAGUCGAACGAGGUGCUUUUGUAGCAAUACGAGAGUAUCCUAGUGGCGAACGGGUGAGUAACGCGUUGGUGACCUACCCCAAAGUGUGGGAUAACAGUCCGAAAGGAUUGCUAAUACCGCAUGUGGUCUUCGGAUUUAGAAACUGAUGACUAAAGGAGGAAUUGGCUUUGGGAGGAACCUGCGUCCCAUCAGCUAGUUGGUGAGGUAAUGGCUCACCAAGGCUACGACGGGUAGGGGACCUGAGGGGGUGACCCCCCACAAUGGAACUGAAACACGGUCCAUACACCUACGGGUGGCAGCAGUAGGGAAUAUUGCACAAUGGGCGAAAGCCUGAUGCAGCAACGCCGCGUGUGCGAUGAAGGCCUUCGGGUCGUAAAGCACUUUUCUGAGGGAUGAGCAAGGACAGUACCUCAGGAAUAGGUCUCGGCUAACUACGUGCCAGCCGCCGCAGUAAAAC
rnacentral:rRNA from 1 species